GAAAACAAAGAAAGCAAUGUUAGGAGUUCAAAUGAAGAACAGCGAAAAGAGUCUUCCAUGUGAGAGAAAGAGAGGUUGUUUUAACAAGUUGUGGAUUAUCUCAAACCCGAUUCUUAUUUGUUUGCUCCUCUUCUCAUAAACUCGAAUUCCCCUUCACCAAAGCCAAAUUUCACUUCUUCUUCUUCUGCAGGUUAAGAAAACCCUCCCGAAAAGAGCUUUUUAUUGAGUUUUGGUUUGAAGUAUAAAUGAUUUGUUUGAUUUCUGUAAGGGGGUUUUGAUGAAUCUUUUUUUUUAAAAAAAAAAAAUAUUACGAUUGGAGAGAAAACAACCCAUCAAAGGAAUAAAGAAGAAGAGAUUACUGAAGAAGAAUGUUGAUUAUCUGAAAUCAGAUUCUUAUAUGUAUGCAUCCAUGUCUGUUAAUAAGCAAAUGAGUUCUUCUAAAGGAUCUAUCCGGUAUGUGGAAAAGGUCACCAUGGAAAUACCAACAAGGAAUGUGACUAUGGACAAAAAUGAACUAACUGUUCAGCCUAGAAAUCCAGUAGCAGAGGACCAAAUUUUGGAACGCAAUCUUCCCGAAGGAAGAAUCUCAGCUUCACAGACUUAGCACCGAAGGAAAUGGUGAAGAACAUAGUUUAUUCGAACUGCCGCUCCUCAUCCAUUCCAGGGAAAGGGGGGCUCGACUCACGGUCAAGGAAUCACUAAUUUAUAUAUCUGCCAAACAAAUCAGUGAAUUGAUAAUAGUAUUUGCUGGUUGUCUUCUUUUGUGGUUUUUGGCAUAUGAUA